GUUCUGCAUGGAGGGGCAGUUGGCUGGCGUGGUCCUCCCACUAGGAGCCCAGACUCCCCAGGUACCAGCACCACCACGGGCCUCCAUGGCUCCCUGCCAGGUCCCAUUCUGCUAUCUCCCCGAGGGCCCCACGUUUGAGCCCAGGAGCUGUACCUCUUCAGGAGCCCCAGAGCCCGGAAAGAAGUUCCCAUUGUCAUAGCGAUGCAGGGAGAUGUAGAGCACGGAGGGGUCGUUGUAGAAUGCUUGCUGGGUGCCAUUGCCGUGGUGAAUGUCCUAGUGGGAAGGGGUGGAAGCAUCAGGGAAAAGGCCCAGGCUCUGACCCAAAGGUCAAAAUUCCACUUGGCCCACCCCGACCCUGUGGUGGACUCUGGGGGUGCAGCCCACCACUAGCUACAGGGCAUCUGUGUUCCGUUCGCCACGGAAUCGCCCCACGCUUUUCUAACCAGGGUCUGCGGGCCGGGACAUGGCACUGCACAGAGGAGACACAAAGCCCGGGGACGAAUGUGGUGGAUCUCCCUGCGGGCCCACUCUGCUCAGGAGUGUGGACGGAAACAGCACGGCUAGUCAGGAAUUGAAAGCAAACAGAUGCAUUCUGAAGAAGAACCCAACAUUAUGAACUUUGAAGCCCAAGCUGGGCUUUGAAGAGAUUAGAUCCCUCCUUGCUGAGGCUUGCUCCUCACAGGGAGCGAGCAGUAGGGGCCUUUCCCUCUUCUGUGAGAGGCAGGGGCGGAGAAGCACAGCGUGGCAGCAGGAGCAGAAAUGCCGGGGCCGACAGGCCUGAUCUGAAACCCAGUACCAACAUCCCAAGCUAAGUAACCUUGGUUGGGUAAGUCCCCCAACAGCCCAGUGUCUCCGUUUAUCGAAAUGGACAUCCUACUACUUAGGAAGCAAGGCAGCCACGAAGCAGCACCACGUGUCUGGCACAUGGUCAGCCCCCAGUCAAGAGGGUCUCUAGCAACGGCAGGAGCUGUCUCUACCACUCAAGGCAGAAAAUCUCCUUGGCUGCUCAAGGCUGCGGGCUGGGGGCCAAGGUGGACCAGGGGCUAAAAGCAUUUCGAGUCUCCACUAGUGAGGAGGGGGCCCCAUGGGACUGUGAGGGCUGGGCUAACAGCCCCAGCACGGGGCACCUGAGGAAGAGGGCGUGGGGUUGGGGUGGAGGCUUCCUGAAGGCUGACCCUGGUCCCACCAGCCCACUGCCUACCCAGUCCACGAUGAGAACCUUGCCCACAUUCAGCUUCUGCUGCAGGAGUUUGGUUGUGAUGGCUACAGAGUUGAAGAAGCAGAAUCCCCUGCGGGGGUGAGCGGAGAAGAGGGCAGGUCGUCAGCCUUAGUGGAUGUUUGCUCACAGAUACACGCGCAUCAGCUCUGCUGAGAGGGAGAUGGUGUGAGGGCAGUGGGUCUGGGGCAGGGCUGCGGUGGCACUCACAUGGCUGUGGAUUCCUCCGCGUGGUGUCCCGGCGGCCGGAUGAUGGCAAAACCAUUCUGGAGAGGUACAGACGGAGGGACAGAAACAAGAGGCAGACAGGCGGGCAAGGUGGCCACGAAGUGGGUGGACACAGAAGGAGAGAAGCAUAAGCCAGGAUGAGAGCAUAAGUCAUAAGCAUCAAUCCCACAACCUUUAGGAAUGCCAGCCGAGGGCCACAUGAGACCCAUGAGAGCACAGACAUUAGUGUCUCUUGGUCAUUCCCUCUUCACCCCUCACCCCCCAGCUGGCCUGGAGCUGGCACCUCCUCCCCACGCCUGCACCUGAGAGUUGAGAUUACAGAGGAUGGUGCCUUAGUGACAGGAAAACCACGGCUAACCCCAUCCCCCGCUCCUGAGGCAACAGGACCAAGGCCCCACACACACUCACCUUGAGCUCCCCCGUCGCCACCUUGAAAGCCAGCUCCACCAGGCAGCCCACCGCCAUGCGCACGGCACUGGAGGAGUGCAUCUCAUUCCACACGGUGUCGCUGUCCACCUGCGGGGGCAGGAGAGCAGGCUUCAGCGUGCCCCCUGCAGGGGGAGGGCGAGAAUGGGGGUGCAGCUGUGGUGGGCAGGAAGGGAGGGGCUGGAGCUGGGAGCACCACCCACCCAUCCCCACUGGCAGGUGCCCUACUCACCCCGAUGCCCCCACAAGGCAGCAUGGCGUACAUCUUCUGGCUGAUGGGGCCUGCAGGGAAGAGGGACAGAGCUACUCUGGAAGUUGCCUCAACUGCCAGAGCCGCAGGUUGGGGUGUGCAGAGGGCAGGAAGCUCAAUCACAGAAAAAGAAGGCCAGGCCCCAGCACACGACGGGCCUCUGCAGCCCAUGCCAGCUGGGAGAUGUCUGUCCCCCGUCCUGGGUGGGGCAUCCUACCUCUGGGGCAAAUGGCAGGGAGAAAAAGGGGCCUGACAGGUUAGGGAGAAGGGCGAAGCCCAUCACCAGGCCUGACCUGUCACCUCCUAUCCUCCUGCACACAUCUCACCAGCAUGUAGUCUGUGUGAAUGGCGCCCUCUGGAGGCAUGCAAUGGAGCAACUGCACCCACGGGAACCCACCUGCCUACCCUAGUGGUGGUCUUCCUGACAGCCCCCGUCCCGCCGGGGCAGAAGACCUGGCCUGGCCCACGCCACCCCCGCAAUCGGCCGGCCAGCUCACCGAGCAGCUUCUUGCUGUCCAGCUUCUGUCGGUUGAGGGGGCUGGUCCCAUAGAGCAGGGUGUGGUAUUCGGAGUGCACCGUCUGGAUCUCGUCCAGCGUGGCUUUGCGACCCCGGAUCCGCUGCCAGGGGAGAGCAGGAAGAGAGGCCGGUGAGAGGGAUGGCACCGCAGGCCCAGCUCCCCCGAGGCCCAGCCCCUCUCUCUGCCCCACAGCCUGGGGCACAUGGAGCCACUUUCUCGCCUCGGGAGAUCCAAAGGUUGUUGAGAAAGAAUGCCCUGGUCCCCCAGGGACCCAGUCCAGGACCCUCCCCCACUCAGCUGGGGACCAUGGGGGAACCAGGCUACAAGGGAUGGCACUGGGAGGUGCCUGGGGGGCCUGGCCCUGAAGUCAGGGGUUGAAGAGAGAAUGAGGAAGAGACCCAGACAGAGGCUUCCCCGAUAGGGGAAACACAAAGGCUUUCGCUGGGUUUGAGGUGGAGGCUGGAAGGAGGGGCUCCCUUACCUCACACUUGCUGAGCAGGCCUGUCUCCUGCAGCCGAGACCAGAUGCUCUGGAUCCGGCCAGCGUGCUCGGGGUGCACGUGUGUGUUGCCGCACAUGCACUGGUGCUUCAGCAUGAACGUGUCGUAGACCACACCUGGGCCAGAGACACACCUGUCAGCCAGCACUGCUCUGGGCUGUGUGACAGCCUGGCCCCCGCCAUCCUCAGCAGAGCUCACUGAGCUUUUCCCCAGCCCACCCUCGUCCCAGCCCCUCCUCACAGCCCCCCCAGCUGCCCUCCCACACACCUGCCCCUCUUCUUUUCAUGAAAUCCCUUUCCCCCACCACCGCCUGUCAAAAGCCCCCCUGCUCCUCAAGCCUCCACCAGGCCGCCCUUGACACCCCCAUCGGUUUUGACCUCAUGGCACACCCUCCUUUCCCCCUCCUGUCACAGCCCCUGUGUGCUGCCCCUCUACCCCCCGACACACCCCACUGGUGAGUCGGGACCGUCCUCAAGCAUCUGUGCCCCCACAGAGCCCAGCACAGGGCAGUUUCACAUGGAAGAGCCUUCUGGAAUGGACUGAGGCCUCACAUUUAACCUCACAGGGCAGAGAGGGAACUAGAAGAGCAGGACCAAACUGAGACAGUGGGCUCCCUCCACCUAGGCCUCCAGGGCUUGUGUGGCGAGGGCGCAAAACUGGUGGUCCCUCAGCAGUGGUGGGGUGGGUCCCUGAAGGAAGACGCUGCCCCAGCGGGUAGGGACACUCACCACCCUCCCACUGAGGCAGAGGCUGCCACCACUACCACAGGUGGCUAUGGCGCAGAGGGAGGGGGCCAAGGCCUGCUUUCCCUCCCUUCAGGAUGCUCUGAGGGGCCCUGGCCAUCUCUCCAGGGCAGGGGCUCUAUCUUAUCUCUUCACGAUGCCCAAGGCUGGAUGCCACACACAGGCCCCCGGCACACGAUGUGAGGACAGCUCGUGCGGGCGCGGGGCUCACCUGUGGUGAAGAGGUGCUUGGUGGGCUGGUCCGGGGGGCUCUUCAUGCCCCCAGGGGCAGCAGGUGAGGACUGGGUGCGGCCCAGGGCCUGGUGAGGCACAGUGGCCAGGCUGAGGGGCGCCUGGUACACCUGCAGCGGCUGCAGCUGCUGAGCAUCUGCAAACACCUGGGAAGGAGGAGAGUGGGAGGGAGCCUGGGUGAGGCUUAGUCUGAAAUGGAAGUGAGGACAGGUGGCCUCCCAGGGGGUGGAGGGCCUGAAUCCAGCCCUUCUCUUCUGUAUCGCCUCCUCCCCCCACCCUCCUCCCUCCAGGGACAGGAGACACUCCAGCCUUAGCCAUCUUCAUCUCCAUCUCCGAGGAGAUGGGGAGAGAUGGGGUGGGGGGGGACGUGAUGAGUCAUGCUACCGGAGUAGCAUUGAGGCAGCCGCCCAGCCCAUACAGACCUUUGAUGUGAAUUAGAGAAAGGCAAGGCGGCUCCUCUGAUGCAGCCUGGGGAGUGGCCUGGGUGUCAGCCCCCUGCCAGCCCCCUGCCAGCCCGGCACCCUCUGUGUCCUGACCCCAGCACGGCCCUGGAUGUUUGCUUCUCCCGGCUCACCUUGCCCAGCUGCAGCUGCUGCUGCUUCUGCUUCUCUAGGAACUGCUGGUGCUGCUGCUGCAUGACCAGCUGCUGCAGGGCCUGGGGGCUCUGGGGCAGCGGCGAGGACUGAGUGCGGCUCAGGGGCCGGUGCCGAGGGAGCUUGCCCACCGUCCGCAUGCUGGUAGCCACGCGCUCACCCGUCACCAGCGGGGACUGCCCGUGGAGCGGCACUGUGGAGGUGGUGGGGAGAGGGAAGUAACCAUCACUGUCAGGGCACCAGGCUCCCACUCCCACCCCGCGACUCUCCCUCUUCUGGAACAGCGGCGCCUCCAUACUCAGGAAAAACCUGCGAGGGGCCUGGAGCACCCUGCCCCCAAACCUGAGCCCCAUUCUUCCUCCUCCCCACAACUGAACAGUCUCGCAGCUCAGAGCCACCACCUCCAGCAAAACUUCCUGGAUUCACUUACGAGCACGUACAGUCUCGGGCCCCCCGUGUGCGAGAACAAUGACUAGUUCUCCCCAACUGCAAGACCUCCCUGAUCAUGGACGUGGAUCCCACCCAGCUGGGAAGCCUGGAGGCCAGGAUCAUGUGUCUUUUAAGCAGAACCUCUUCUGAUGCCACCAGCUACUUAUGGGCUGACUGUCCAAAGCCACGCUGUCCAAUCCCAUGGCUGCCAGCCACACGUGACCACUGAGCACUUGAAACAUGGCCUGUCUCAAUUGAGAUGUGCUCUAAGUGUGAAAUACGCACCAGAUUUCAACGACGAACACUUCAAAGUACACAUACGGCUUGUAUUAUAUUUCUACUGGACAGCACUGCUCUGGAAUGUGAGCUCCAUUACGACGGCAGAUUUCGGGAACAGUGCCUGGCCGGCUGUAGGUACUCAAUAACGUCUGUAGAAUAUGGAAGAAAUCAAUGAUGCCAUGGAAGGGAGCUGUGACAGGGCUGCUCUGGGGGAGGGCCAUCUGAUCGCCAUCAGGACCCUGGGAGGACAACAGCCCCAGCCAGGGGCAUCCAGGGCCGAAGACCUCAACACCAGAGGGAGGA